rnacentral:rRNA from 1 species
AGAGUUUGAUCCUGGCUCAGGACGAACGCUGGCGGCAUGCCUAAUACAUGCAAGUCGAACGGAUCUCUUCGGAGAUUAGUGGCGGACGGGUGAGUAACGCGUGGGCAACGCGGACGGGUGAGUAACGCGUGGGCAACCUGCCCCAAAGAUCGGGAUAACACUUCGAAAGGAGUGCUAAUACCGGGUGUGAUCUAGAAUUCGCAUGGAUUUUAGAAGAAAGGCUUCGGCCACUUUGGGAUGGGCCCGCGUCUGAUUAGCUAGUUGGUGGGGUAAAGGCCUACCAAGGCGACGAUCAGUAGCCGACCUGAGAGGGUGAACGGCCACACUGGGACUGAGACACGGCCCAGACUCCUACGGGAGGCAGCAGUCGGGAAUAUUGGGCAAUGGACGAAAGUCUGACCCAGCAAUGCCGCGUGAGUGAUGAAGGCCUUCGGGUCGUAAAGCUCUGUCUUUGGGGAAGAACCGCCGGGUGGUUAAUACCUGCCUGGUCUGACGGUACCCACAAAGGAAGCACCGGCUAACUCCGUGCCAGCAGCCGCGGUAAUACGGAGGGGGCAAGCGUUGUCCGGAAUUAUUGGGCGUAAAGGGCGCGUAGGCGGAUAUUUAAGUCCGGUGUGAAAGAUCAGGGCUCAACCCUGAGAGUGCAUCGGAAACUGGUUAUCUUGAGGACAGGAGAGGAAAGUGGAAUUCCACGUGUAGCGGUGAAAUGCGUAGAUAUGUGGAGGAACACCAGUGGCGAAGGCGACUUUCUGGCUUGUAACUGACACUGAGGCGCGAAAGCGUGGGGAUCAAACAGGAUUAGAUACCCUGGUAGUCCACGCUGUAAACGAUGAGUGCUAGGUGUAGAGGGUAUCGACCCCCUCGGUGCCACAGCUAACGCAAUAAGCACUCCGCCUGGGGAGUACGGUCGCAAGACUGAAACUCAAAGGAAUUGACGGGGGCCCGCACAAGCGGUGGAGCAUGUGGUUUAAUUCGACGCAACGCGAAGAACCUUACCAAGGCUUGACAUCUAACGAAUCCCAAGGAAACUUGGGAGUGCCCUUCGGGGAGCGUUAAGACAGGUGGUGCAUGGUUGUCGUCAGCUCGUGUCGUGAGAUGUUGGGUUAAGUCCCGCAACGAGCGCAACCCCUGUGUUUAGUUGCUAACAUGUAAAGAUGAGCACUCUAGACAGACUGCCGGUGAUAAACCGGAGGAAGGUGGGGAUGACGUCAAAUCAUCAUGCCCCUUAUGUCUUGGGCUACACACGUGCUACAAUGGCCAGUACAGACGGAAGCGAAGCCGCGAGGUGGAGCAAAUCCCUUAAAACAGGUCC